rnacentral:misc_RNA from 1 species
AGCUGCUUCAGUUCCUUCUCUGAAAUUGCUCUUGAACCUGAUUGCCACAGUGCGCAGGUACCUCAUUCUACCAGUUCCUGUAGUCUUCCUCCUGAUUGCCUUCAUGCUCCAGUUAUACUUGCGGAUCCGCGCGGCUGGGUAGCCACAGGAGGCACAGCGGCUCUUCUGAAGAUGAAAGCUCCGCCGCCCGCAGCGGACGCACAGCGUGUGCGUCUUGUUCCGCCGCUUCCCAAAGCUUCCGGUUCCCUUGCCCAUUUGGUGUUCUCGCCGGUCGACCCCUGCGAAUGUUGGCGGCG